UGGUGGUGGUGGUGGUGGUGGUGGAAGUGGAAGAAGUGAUGGUUGUGGCUUUUAUGGGUCUAUAAUCUUCACAUCCGGGAUUGAGAAAUUCUGGAUUAAUGUUUCAGUGAUGGGUAUUUCUUAGCAAGUCAAUCAAAAUACAUGCGGUUAAGAUUGGGGUGCUUGUAGCUUGGGAAACGUGACAUGGAUGGGACCUGACUCUAAUACCUUUAGGAAGCAGAAGUGGACCAUGAAUUGGGUGACUUCUUUAGCAAUUGGAUGGAACAACUUACUCCUCUGUCCUAUUGCCUUUAAAAGGAAACUACAUCUUUGUUAUGAUGUCUAGUCCUUUAUAUAUUCUCCUCCUAUAAAUUUUAGUUACCGAGCAAAAUUUAGGCCUAUAGUAUUAGGUACAGUGUGCAUACUGUUAAAUCUCGGUUAGAUUAGUCUCACUCCAAUUCUGUAGGUUAACGUCUUGCUUUUGUAAUUUCAUCUUUAUUUCAUCUAAGUCAUCUUUUUCUUCGUUUUCUAAUGUACGGCAUUGAUUAGGGUGGUAGCUUCCUAGUUUAGUUUUGCUUUAUUUUCACCUUUAAACUGUCUUUUCUCUUGUAACUGCCUUACUCGGUUCUUUGUUGCCUGAAUUGGCUUCUCAACAAUCAACACCUCUUUAUAUAUAUACCAUCUCUUUCUUUGUUUCUUUUAGAUAUGUCUAACUCCCCCGUGUACGGUCUACAUGGGUGUUGUUUCCUCCUUGCCAUCUUUUCUGUUUUUUAAGAGGGGAAGUGGCAAGUGAAAGUGAAAGUAGUUACUGCAUUUGCUUCUUGGGUUUGUAAUUGUAAGGUCAAUCCAAUCCGCGUUGCUUCUUUGAGUUGUAAGCCAUUAGUUUCUCGUUCUUUUGAGUGGAUAACAGGGCGUCCUCCUAGUCUUCAUAGAGCUUGUCUUUGUUGGAGAUUGUUGACCAUACCAUGCUAUUUGUGAGGCCACGGUUGGGGAAGAUUUCAGGAGGCUGCUUUUAUAUUAGAUGUGCAUUAUAGCGUAAUAUUUUCUUAAAAGCUAGUUUUAUUGUAAUCCAUAUGCAGUUUGUCUAGUCGCUUGUGUCCAAGAAAUACAUUCUAAUAUCUAUCUUGCCGUUUUGUAUCGAGUACGAGUCUUUUAAUCAGUCUGGUUGGCUUCUGAUAUUGGAUGAUGAUGUGUUUUACAGUUUCAUUUUAUGUCAGGACUGCAAUUCUAGUUUAAUUACCCUUGCCUCUUUUACAAGUUUAUUGCAUGUUUCUGCAAUUAUUUGAUGAAUCAAACAAGCUGUUCAUUAUUAUCAUUAAUCAGUAUUGUAAUUUGG
rnacentral:misc_RNA from 1 species